UGCCUAAUGUUUCUGUAGUUUUUCUUACAAAAGUAUCUAGAAUUUAUUUUUCUGGAUUCUGCCAUUUUUUUCAAAUGCAGAUCUAGUCAAAUACUAGAGCAUCUUAACGACUAUGCAUACCUCCAUCUGCGACUUACUUUGUGUUCACAACAUCUGGCACUUAAAAGCAUUCAGUUAACAUUUAUUACAUGAGUUAGAGAGAAGGAGAAUGUCAGGCAUUUUAGGCAUGGAUCUGGUGUGAGCAAAUGCCAGGGCAGGAAUGCGCAAGUGUGUGCUGAAAGCUCAUGUGGACCCUUGUCCAGCAAAUGCUCCCUUCUCAGGCCCAGUUGACACGCUGAACUGUCUUUUCUGCUGCUACUGGGGGCCCCAGGCUCAACCUGCUAUCCCCAUGCCCUCACUGCGGUUCAUCCCCCCUCCCCCUCUUUUCUGGGCUGAACUAAAGUUGAACUCAUUGGUCCUUUUCCUUCUAAAGACUGACCACUGAUCACCACUGGAGGACAGAAGAUCAUUAAAAACAGUAAAGUUUUGAAAUCCUUUUAUGUUUGCAGCCUUUUCUCUACAUUUUUCUGAGUCCCUUACAAAAAGUUACUGGAAAUCUGUGUUAGGAGUUUGUCUUCUGAAGGUGGCAAUCAUCAACCCUCCUCUCCUCACCUGCUAUGAAUGAACGUCAUGUAAACCUUUGCCUCUACAAAAGCCCUUCUUUUCAGCCUACAACCCCAAGCAGAACAAAUCCCACGGGUGCCCUUUGAUGCUCCAGAGGUCCUCUACAGCCAUAC
rnacentral:lncRNA from 1 species